rfam:Ornithorhynchus anatinus chromosome X1, whole genome shotgun sequence.
CCCCUCUCAGGGUCUUGCCUGGAGAGUUUCCAGUACUCUACCGGUCUCGGCUAUGGGAGGGAGAGUGAAGCAUCAGCAUAUCCAUUCCAUUCCUAGCUUGGGAUGUGGCUAGUGAGUAGAAGACAAUCUGCUACAAGU